CCCUUAGAUGUUCUGGGCCGCACGCGCGCUACACUGAUGCAUUCAACGAGUUUCUUCCUGGUCCGAGAGGAAUGGGUAACCUUUUGAAAGUGCAUCGUGAUAGGGGUAGACUAUUGCAAUUAUUGGUCUUCAACGAGGAAUUCCUAGUAGACGUAGUUCAUCAGACUGCAUCGAUUACGUCCCUGCCCUUUGUACACACCGCCCGUCGCUCCUACCGAUUGGAUUGGCUGGUGAAGCGUUCGGAUUGUGGGUUCGGAGCGGUUCGCCGUUCUGGGCUUGCGAGAAGUUCGUUAAACCCUCCUAUCUAGAGGAAGGAGAAGUCGUAACA
rnacentral:rRNA from 1 species